GCGCCUGCUCCGGGGUGCACGUAGGGGCCUGCUUCGACAACAUCGAACAGGCUGCUGGGCGUGCUGAGACGGCGGACCUUACCGCCGGAACCGCGAACUUGAUCUGGUUAGUACCAGCGUAAGAAGAGCUGCAGUCGGAAUU
rnacentral:ncRNA from 1 species